UACGGAGGGCGCGAGCGUUACCCGGAUUUACUGGGCGUAAAGCGCACGUAGGCGGCUUCGUAAGUCUGGUGUGAAAUCUCACGGCUCAACCGGGAGGCUGCACCAGAUACUGCGGAGCUCGAGGACGGGAGAGGAGAUCGGAAUUCCCGGUGUAGCGGUGAAAUGCAUUGAUAUCGGGAGGAACACCAGUGGCGAAGGCGGAUCUCUGGCCCGUUGCUGACGCUGAGGUGCGAAAGCUGGGGGAGCGAAAGGG
rnacentral:rRNA from 1 species